rnacentral:rRNA from 1 species
UCCCUUAGUAAUGGCGAACGAACAGGGAUGAGCUCGGCUUGGAAACUGGGGCUUCGGCCUUGGAUUGUAGCCUCUAGACAUAGUACCAACGGAGGCGCAGGUGUAAGCCUCUUGGAAAAGAGCAUCAACGUGGGUGAGAAUCCUGUGUUUCAUCUGCAGUCCACCGUGCACGGUACAUGUUCUCAGAGUCGCGUACCUCGGAAUUGGUGCGUAAAGUGGGUGGUAAAUUUCAUCUAAAGCUAAAUAUAGGCUUGAGACCGAUAGCAAACAAGUACCAUGAGGGAAAGAUGAAAAGGACUUUGAAAAGAGAGUUAAAAGUGUUUGAAAUUGCUGAAAGGGAAGCGAAUGGAACCAGUCCUCUGGCUGAGAUUGGUGCAUGCUCCUGUGAUGCCCGGCUGCUUCAGCGCAAGCGUGGUAGUUGGAGUUGAGCGGCUGUGUGUGCUGUUUCUCAGCUUGUGAGUCAACUUCUGUUCAUGCUUGGGGAUAGCCUCUUUGUCAUGGCGAGCUCUGCGGGGUUAGUCUUGUCUUUGUAGGGACUCAGGCGUGUACAGCUGCUGACGAAAUCCCAUCGCCGGCUGGUUCUCUUCGACCCGUCUUGAAAGACGGACCAAGGA